rnacentral:rRNA from 1 species
UAGGGAAUCUUCCACAAUGGACGCAAGUCUGAUGGAGCAACGCCGCGUGAGUGAAGAAGGUCUUCGGAUCGUAAAACUCUGUUGUUAGAGAAGAACACGAGUGAGAGUAACUGUUCAUUCGAUGACGGUAUCUAACCAGCAGGUCACGGCUAACUACGUGCCGG